AGUGGCGAACGGGUGAGUAACGCGUAGGCAACCUGCCCUUUAGUUGGGGACAACAUCCCGAAAGGGGUGCUAAUACCGAAUGUGAUCACUUUUCCGCAUGGAAAUGUGAUGAAAGAUGGCCUCUAUUUAUAAGCUAUCGCUAAAGGAUGGGCCUGCGUCUGAUUAGCUAGUUGGUGGGGUAACGGCCUACCAAGGCGACGAUCAGUAGCCGGUCUGAGAGGAUGAACGGCCACAUUGGGACUGAGACACGGCCCAGACUCCUACGGGAGGCAGCAGUGGGGAAUCUUCCGCAAUGGGCGAAAGCCUGACGGAGCAAUGCCGCGUGAGUGAUGAAGGAAUUCGUUCCGUAGAGCUCUUUUGUUUAUGACGAAUGUGCAUGUUGUGAAUAAUGACGUGUAAUGACGGUAGUAAACGAAUAAGCCACGGCUAACUACGUGCCAGCAGCCGCGGUAAUACGUAGGUGGCGAGCGUUGUCCGGAAUUAUUGGGCGUAAAGAGCAUGUAGGCGGUUUUUUAAGUCCGGAGUGAAAAUGCGGGGCUCAACCCCGUAUGGCUCUGGAUACUGGAAGACUUGAGUGCAGGAGAGGAAAGGGGAAUUCCCAGUGUAGCGGUGAAAUGCGUAGAUAUUGGGAGGAACACCAGUGGCGAAGGCGCCUUUCUGGACUGUGUCUGACGCUGAGACGCGAAAGCCAGGGUAGCGAACGGGAUUAGAUACCCCGGUAGUCCUGGGCCGUAAACGAUGGGUACUAGGUGU
rnacentral:rRNA from 1 species